CAUGGUUAAGUGGGAAACGAUGUGGGAAGGCCCAGACAGCCAGGAUGUUGGCUUAGAAGCAGCCAUCAUUUAAAGAAAGCGUAAUAGCUCACUGGUCGAGUCGGCCUGCGCGGAAGAUGUAACGGGGCUAAACCAUGCACCGAAGCUGCGGCAGCGACGCUGAUGCGUUGUUGGGUAGGGGAGCGUUCUGUAAGCCUGCGAAGGUGUGCUGUGAGGCAUGCUGGAGGUAUCAGAAGUGCGAAUGCUGACAUAAGUAACGAUAAAGCGGGUGAAAAGCCCGCUCGCCGGAAGACCAAGGGUUCCUGUCCAACGUUAAUCGGGGCAGGGUGAGUCGACCCCUAAGGCGAGGCCGAAAGGCGUAGUCGAUGGGAAACAGGUUAAUAUUCCUGUACUUGGUGUUACUGCGAAGGGGGGACGGAGAAGGCUAUGUUGGCCGGGCGACGGUUGUCCCGGUUUAAGCGUGUAGGCUGGU
rnacentral:rRNA from 1 species